UUGAGUUUGAUCAUGGCUCAGAACGAACGCUGGCGGCGUGCUUAACACAUGCAAGUCGAACGGGAUCCGGAGCUUGCUCCGGUGAGAGUGGCGCACGGGUGAGUAACGCGUGGAUAAUCUGCCCUGGUAUCUGGAAUAACAUCUCGAAAGGGGUGCUAAUACCGGAUAAGCUUACGAUCUCCUCGGAGUUUGUGAGAAAAGAUGGCCUCUAUUUAUAAGCUAUCGUAUCAGGAUGAGUCCGCGUACCAUUAGCUAGUUGGUGGGGUAAUGGCCUACCAAGGCUACGAUGGUUAGCUGGUCUGAGAGGAUGAUCAGCCACACUGGAACUGAGACACGGUCCAGACUCCUACGGGAGGCAGCAGUGGGGAAUUUUGCGCAAUGGGGGAAACCCUGACGCAGCAAUGCCGCGUGAGUGAUGAAGGCCUUCGGGUCGUAAAGCUCUGUCAGAGGGGAAGAAAUGGAAACGGUUAAUACCCGUUUUUCUUGACGGUACCCUCAAAGGAAGCACCGGCUAACUCCGUGCCAGCAGCCGCGGUAAUACGGAGGGUGCAAGCGUUGUUCGGAUUUAUUGGGCGUAAAGCGCGUGUAGGCGGUUUUCUAAGUCUGAUGUGAAAGCCCUGGGCUCAACCCAGGAAGUGCAUUGGAUACUGGGAGACUUGAAUACGGGAGAGGGUAGUGGAAUUCCUAGUGUAGGAGUGAAAUCCGUAGAUAUUAGGAGGAACACCGGUGGCGAAGGCGGCUACCUGGACCGAUAUUGACGCUGAGACGCGAAAGCGUG
rnacentral:rRNA from 1 species